GAUGAACGCUGGCGGCGUGCCUAAUACGUGCAAGUCGAGCGAACAGACGAGGAGCUUGCUCCUCUGACGUUAGCGGCGGACGGGUGAGUAACACGUGGAUAACCUACCUAUAAGACUGGGAUAACUUCGGGAAGCCGGAGCUAAUACCGGAUAAUAUAUUGAACCGCAUGGUUCAAUAGUGAAAGACGGUUUUGCUGUCACUUAUAGAUGGAUCCGCGCCGCAUUAGCUAGUUGGUAAGGUAACGGCUUACCAAGGCGACGAUGCGUAGCCGACCUGAGAGGGUGAUCGGCCACACUGGAACUGAGACACGGUCCAGACUCCUACGGGAGGCAGCAGUAGGGAAUCUUCCGCAAUGGGCGAAAGCCUGACGGAGCAACGCCGCGUGAGUGAUGAAGGUCUUCGGAUCGUAAAACUCUGUUAUUAGGGAAGAACAAAUGUGUAAGUAACUAUGCACGUCUUGACGGUACCUAAUCAGAAAGCCACGGCUAACUACGUG
rnacentral:rRNA from 1 species